GCGAGAGUGGCGGAACUGGCAGACGCGCUGGUCUUAGAAGCCAGUGGGUGACCGUGGGGGUUCAAGUCCCCCCUCUCGCACCA
rnacentral:tRNA from 1 species